GAUAGUAUGGCCGAGUGGUCUANNUGGCGCUGGUUUUAGCCACCAGUCUCUUCGGAGGCAAAGGUUUGGAUCCCUUCACUGUCA
rnacentral:tRNA from 1 species